UACGUAGGGCGCGAGCGUUGUCCGGAAUUAUUGGGCGUAAAGAGCUCGUAGGCGGCUGGUCGCGUCUGUCGUGAAAUCCUCUGGCUUAACUGGGGGCUUGCGGUGGGUACGGGCCGGCUUGAGUGCGGUAGGGGAGACUGGAACUCCUGGUGUAGCGGUGGAAUGCGCAGAUAUCAGGAAGAACACCGGUGGCGAAGGCGGGUCUCUGGGCCGUUACUGACGCUGAGGAGCGAAAGCGUGGGGAGCGAACAGGAUUAGAAACCCCAGUAGUCC
rnacentral:rRNA from 1 species